UUUUGUUGUUUUUUGGAACAUGGCGGCAAAGGAGUGAACGUGUUUAAAUUUUGCUCUAUUGAUCUCAUGAAAACUCGCUCGAUGUUACAUCUAAGACAUGAAAUGGUAUAUUCAGCAUAUUUUCCUGUACUGGAAGUUAAUAAAACGUCUCCACGGCGUUUUAAACAACAACAACGUGCUUCGAACUCUGGAGGUGUAUACUUCGAAUGCAGAAGCCAAGAAGGUACGAAUAUUUUAACUGCUUCAGUUCUGUUUUUAUGUGGCUAGAUCUUAAAAAUAAUUCCGUCAAUAGCAACAUAUAUGCCUAAACUUUGUGUCUUUUCUGCAUCGAUUUGAUCUUGGCCUCAGAUAUUUGUAUUUUGCCUUUUGAAGUGAGCGACCUUUCUUCGACUUUAAAAGCCCCAUUGUCGUUCGCUCCCACAAAUUAUCCUGCAAAUACACCUUGAAAUUAUGUUGAUUUCACAAAAAAAUUAUUGCAUGUGAAAGAGUGUUAUCGUAUGCCCAAAUAAAUCUCAAUUUAUGCAUGUAUUGAAGCGUACUGUGUUGAUAAACGUCCAUUUUCCUUCUGCAAACAUUAUUAUUGUAUGUCAUUUUUCGCGCCAACUUACAAAAUCGAUUCACCUUGGAUAUUUUAGAUAUUUUUACGUUUAAACCAAUUGGCGCACUGUGGGACUUAUAGUACAUUGUAGUACAGUCUUUGAGGAUAAAAACAGUGCCUGUUUGAAGAAAUUUUAGGUGAAUGGUCCUCGCACAAUUUUUAAAAGUAAAUGUUUUAGUUUCCCAUUUUCCUCACUUUUUGCUAAAAUAGAUGGCUUUUGUUUUGAUUGUUUUAAAAUACUCUACCUAAUGGUUAAACAUUAAUAGGUUUCCUAACUAUGUAGCUUUGUAAUCAAGUACCAUUAUAAUGCUGGCCAAAAUCUGGAAGAAAACUCUGAAAAAAAAAUUAUGAAAUUUUUUGAUCAUGAAAAUGUUGAUUUUCUGCCAAGUGGGCAAAAGAAUGACUGAAAGGCUUUACAAAAUUGCAAAAAUAAUGCUUAAUAUUGAUUGGCACACCGCAAGGUGUAUCUACGCUUGAAGUUUAUGUAUUACACUUCAAAGUUAAUAUGGUUUGGGAAAAUUUUAGGUGCAUGGUCCUCGCAGAAUUUAGCCAUUUUCAUCGGCUUUUCUUUUCGAGUUUUAUUGCAUUUAAUUAAGGUGGCUCUAUGAUGUUUUGCAAGCUGUAAGGAAAUAUGUGCUGAAAAUGCAGUAGUCUUCAUGAUUAUAAAUCACUAUGGAUAUCAAAACUUUUCUAAAGUGUAUUUUAGCAUUUAGGGGCUGUUUACAUGAGCCUGGCUAGCCACUUGUAGCCGGGCUGGCCCGGUUAACUGAGGCGCCCGGCUUAUUACAAAUUCUUUAACAAAACAAUUUUAGUUUAUAUGUCUAGCCCGCCUAGCCGAGAUCUCACUCGAGUCAAACAGGGCGCCCAGCUAACCGGGCAGAAAUUUUCCCAUGUAAGGUCACCAGCCCGGGUAACCGGGCUAGCGAAAAAACUUCUGUACAAGCUACAAUAUCGAUUUGAAUUAGUACUUUUUGGACAAAUAGUUAUUUCUUAAGUUGUUCUUAACAUGCAUUUGGCUUGUGUGACAAAUCCCCCCCCCGCCAUAUUUGGCUUGAUAUUUAAAGUUUCAGCCCUGUUGAUUGGGCUAGCCAGGCUCAUGUAAACAGCCCCUUAAUGGAUUUGUACACUAUAUGUCACAUGUGGUUGCUAUGGUAAUCUGAAUUCAUUUGCUAAUUAUUUUCUAACAAGAUUAUAUUUUGUAUUGAUUUCUUUCCCUGCUUUUGCUAACAUUAGAGCACUUUUCAUUAGCCCUUAGUGUUCCUAGCACAUACAUCAGUCCUUGUCAUAAGCAGACAAAUAAUUUUCCUAAAAAAUUCCUUUUUUUAUCAAUUUCUUCAGGAUCAUUGCAAUGGUAACAUAAUUAACCCACUAAGCUGCAGAGCUAGCAUUAUGUGGAACUAGCAAAACCAGUAAGUGGGAUGAAUUUGUUUUGUUUAUAUGUCAGAAAGUUUCAUAUAGGAAAGCUGUCACCUCUCGUCAGUGGCGUGCUGGGUACUAUUUUUCUGGGGGGGCCAGUCGGCUGGCAACCAAUAUGCGCCCCUAUAAUAUUACGCUUGAUAAACGAGGGCCGACGGCACGAACCGAGCGCCGCAGGUGCGAGGUUUGUCUAAGGGAGUCCGGGGGCAUGCCCCCAGGAAAAUUUUUGAAUUUAGAGUCUCUGAAAAGCCAUUUCCUGGACUUUGGGGGAAGAUUUGACAGAAAUCUGAUGGUCAGGAAACGGCAUUACAACGUGUCGAAAUUUGCAAAUUGGUUAGAAUUUAGUAGUAGUAGUACUUAAAUUGGGCAAUGUUAACUACUUCCAGCAAUUAAUCUAAUCCCAAUUCUAUUCUCUACUGAUCUGAAUACAUUGACAACUUGCAGCUCUUUUAUACAAUAACACACAGACCCCACGCAUAUUCAUUUUAAGGUUUUCUUGCCUGUCUGCCAAAAGGGCGCGUUUCAGCAUUAUAUCUCGUUACUUACAUUACUCAUGAUGUUUCUUGCGCAAACAACUAAAUUGCGUACACAACUUUACAUUAUCAUAACUUCAACUAUCUAAUUUGCGUCGCUCUCGUGAUUCGUGAAGCAUAAUAAAGGGCAUAAUAUAAGGGUAUAAUACCAGCAAAAAAGGGCAUAAUUCCCGUGAUCGCUUAUUCGCUUCGAAGCCUGAUCAAUAUUCCGGUAAUGAGACAUUGCGUGUGAUCACUAAUCAUGUUUCUAUAUGAACGAGUGAUUUCGUGUGAAUCAUCAGUAGCAAAUACGGUUGGACAAAACAGUCUGCAAUUUAAUAUACUCACUUUGUCGCCUAUGCGCUUAGUCUGUUUAUAAGUCUAUAAACACAUCUUUCCUUGGCGGAAUUAGUAACUAUAUUUUUUCGAAUGCGUUUCUUCCCACCCACUUUCAAAAUUCGGCGCGGGAUCGGCGCCCCCUUUUCAUUUUUGCGCCCCCCAAAAAUUGCCAGCUGGGGGGCCGUGGCCCCCCGGCCCCCCCUGCCAGCACGCCACUGCCACUCGUCUUUGAUCAAAAUUACCUUUGCUUACCUCAGGAUGAAGUAAAAAUAGUUUUUUCUGAGAAUAGGCCCUUCCAAGGUUAAGGAUGCCGUCUUGAAUAUAUUGUUUUCACCAUUGUGUUUGUACCCCUUGCAAAUUUACCUCUCCUAUAGGGAAUUCCAUUGUGUUUGCACCCCUUGUACUAUUGUUUCAUUAUGGUAUUGUCAACCUUGGAAGGGUCUAUUGCUUUCAGUUAUGGAGACUUAACACCAUAUACUGAGUUGAUUUGAGUUCAUUAACCCUUUAAGUGGCAAUGUACCCCAUUGUGCCUUACUUUAGUAUUUUACUCUGUCUAAUGCCAGAUGAUUUUACUCAACAUCGGGUUUGAGCAAUUCAAACAGUGAUAGUACUUAAAAAAGGCCUGUGCUGUACAUAGUGAUAUCUCUCUUAUCAGGCAAACCCAGCUUUUGCAGGAAAAUCUCCCAUGUUUGAACCUCUUUCAACAUACUGCUCUUAUUAAUUUCAUUGGGAAAAAAAACAUAGGUGGGCAUGGCCAGGAACCAAUUAGAUCAUGUAUAUACAUUGUAAUAAAUUUUCAAAAAAUAUCAGAUUUUCUAAGAAGAUCUUUUCUUGCAGGCUAUUAAGAAAACAUGAAACGAAACAAGAUGAAAUGAAUAUUUAUUAAAUUACAGAUUGUGAUACAAAUUUAAUUGUGAUACAAAUUUAUCUAUUGUGUGGAUAUUACAAAAAGUUUAUAGGAUGUACAAAAUACUCUGCAAUGUACCAACAUCUGUCAUCAUAAUCAUAUCUUCAAGGUUGUAAAAGUAAUAUUGCAGAGAUCUGUAAAAAAUAUACUUUCAUUGUUAACUUAGAGGGAAAGAAGUAUUCUUUUGUGUAGCAGUGGGAUGGAUUUACUUGGGGGUAUUGGGGGAGGCGGUUCUUCGUGAAAUAAAGUAUUGGGUCUUUAUGACUUUAUAGACAACUUUGAUUUCCAAAAAUUGACAUGCCUGUCUGGGGUCCAUAGUGAUGAUGCAUCCUACCUCAGUUGUUGGUCAGGCCCUAACCUGCCAUCAGGCCUAUAAAUAAAUAAAUAGGCCUGAAACAAACCUAAACAAAAGUACAUGCCUUACAACCGUAUUUCAGUUGUAAAUCUGGUUGGUCUACGAGACAAAAGAUUUUUCAAUCUGUCAUUUGAUUGGUUGGUGUUAAUUAGAUUAUACUGUUGUUGUUGAUAUAUUUUAUAGUGAUCACAACUAUAAUCAGAUUGUUGUUGUCGUUGAGCAAAAUUUUAAUUUCUCCUGUUACAUUUUGAUUGGAUACUAAAUAUAAACUUUGUUGUGGGUAGAAAGUGAUUGGAUUAAGAUUUGUGUCAGGUUAUCCGUAUAAUACAGCCCAAUCUCAGGUUAGACCAGCCCGGGCUUAGCGACCCUCAUACCACAUCAAGUUAUAUGCAUGAGGGAAAGUAGGUUGUUUCAACUAUUAAUUUCACUUGCAAUUGUUACUUAUAUCCCAUGACAUUUUGGUUUCCAAUUACUUUAAUAUACUGUAUACAUAUAC
rnacentral:lncRNA from 1 species